rnacentral:lncRNA from 1 species
AGCUUCUUCCAGACUGGGAUCACCGGGAAGUCAUCCUCUCUAUUCACAGCCCUGUCAGCUUGCCGAGAGCUGCGAGGGUAAAUACACACAGCGUAAGCAAAAGAUCGAGAUUUAUAAGCUGUUUUUCCUCCAGCUAACUUCUGCAGUACAGUUUCUUCCGAGUCUUGUUUUGGAGAGGCACUACCAUUUUGUGAAACUUUGGUCUGACAGCCAACAGCAGGGAGGGAAAAUAGAAGGAAAGGAAAAAAAAGAAAAAAAAAAAAGGAAAAAUUGAUGGCGCUGACAAAAAAGAUUCUUUUCCAAUCCCUGCCGUCAUGCUAACUUGUAGCAUGACCUCUCGUCGCUGGAAGGAAGGUGCCGAUUCCUGCCGGGUUCGGAAACAUCGUGAAAACGCCCCUCAAAGCCUCGGUGGGUUUUAGGGAGCGGGGGGGGGGGAGGGGGGAGAAGGGGAACGAGGUAGGGAGGUGCUGGGAGAAGUUUGAGUGUGCGCCGGAGCAGGAGGUGUGCGGGGAGGGGGGCAUGGAGGGAUGGAGAGGUGGAGGAAGGGUGGAGGGAGGGAGAGAUGAAGAGGUGGAGAAAUGGAGAAAGGAUGGAGAGAUGGAUAGGUGGAAAGGUGGAUGAGGGAUGGAGGGAGGGAGAGAUGAGGAGGUGGAGGAGGGAUGGAGAGAGGUUGUGCACGGCGAGGGGGUGCCGUGCUGUCCCCCUGCCUGUCCCCUCAACUCUGGGGUGGCUUUAAUACGACGCCCUGGCCCCACAAGGGCAGGUGACAAGGGGGGUGGAAGGGCUGAGGGGAGGGGCGGGUGGCGGGAGGGGCAAAGCUUAAAAAUUAAUAUACAUAUACAUAUACAUGCUACACUGGCGCAUAUAUCUAUGUAUAUACAUAUAAAAAUAUAUAUGUUUUUUUAUAUAUAUAUCCGUCUAUGUAUAUGUCUAUAUAUAUAUAUGUCUGUAUGUGAAGCCAGCUGUGUGUCCCGGCCGCAGCGCUGCUGCAGGCAGCGGGCGCGGAUUUCCGCGGGGAUAGCGCAGACAUCCUGCCGCAUUCCCCCUCCUCCCCGCAUCUCCCGGGCAUCAGCGCCCGGAUCCCUGUGGACAAAGAGAAGCUCUGCCAAGAGCCGAACGCAAGCCCGGGGGGAAAGCAGCGAAUCCAGCACGAGCGCUCGGAUGCACUAGAAAUAAAUAAUAAUAAAAAA